UUUCCGUAGGUGAACCUGCGGAAGGACCAUUAAAAAUGAAGCCGGGAAACCGGUCCUUCUAACCCUUGAUUAUCUUAAUUUGUUGCUUUGGUGGGCCGCGCAAGCACCGGCUUCGGCUGGAUCGUGCCCGCCAGAGGACACAACUCUGUAUCAAGUGUCGUCUGAGUACUAUAAAAUAGUUAAAACUUUCAACAACGGAUCUCUUGGUUCUG
rnacentral:misc_RNA from 1 species